UAACAAGGUCUCCGUAGGUGAACCUGCGGAGGGAU
rnacentral:rRNA from 1 species